rnacentral:rRNA from 1 species
UACGUAGGGAGCAAGCGUUGUCCGGAAUCAUUGGGCGUAAAGAGCGUGUAGGCGGUCCUGUAAGUCCGCUGUGAAAGUCAAGGGCUCAACCCUUGAAUGCCGGUGGAUACUGCAGGACUAGAGUCCGGAAGAGGCGAGUGGAAUUCCUGGUGUAGCGGUGAAAUACGUAGAUAUCUGGGGGAACACCGGUGGCGAAGGCGGCUACCUGGCCCAACAUUGACACUGAGACCCGAAAGCGUGGGGAUCAAACAGG